AUUGAACGCUGGCGGCAGGCCUAACACAUGCAAGUCGAGCGGAUGAAGGGAGCUUGCUCCUGGAUUCAGCGGCGGACGGGUGAGUAAUGCCUAGGAAUCUGCCUGGUAGUGGGGGAUAACGUCCGGAAACGGGCGCUAAUACCGCAUACGUCCUGAGGGAGAAAGUGGGGGAUCUUCGGACCUCACGCUAUCAGAUGAGCCUAGGUCGGAUUAGCUAGUUGGUGGGGUAAAGGCCUACCAAGGCGACGAUCCGUAACUGGUCUGAGAGGAUGAUCAGGCACACUGGAACUGAGACACGGUCCAGACCCCUACGGGAGGCAGCAGUGGGGAAUAUUGGACAAUGGGCGAAAGCCUGAUCCUGCCAUGCCGCGUGUGUGAAGAAGGUCUUCGGAUUGUAAAGCACUUUAAGUUGGGAGGAAGGGCAGUAAGUUAAUACCUUGCUGUUUUGACGUUACCAACAGAAUAAGCACCGGCUAACUUCGUG
rnacentral:rRNA from 1 species